CAAGUUGUUGGAUCAUCUUUUAUCAGCAACACAAACGAUUAAUCCAAUUCCAAUUCCAAUCAAAUCGACAUUAUAUAGAAAUAACGAAAAUAAGGAGGUUAUGAUCGUUACAUUGUGAGAGGCGUCAAAUUUGGCGAUGGCGCCGACGCCUUGCCAAACAUCACAAACUCGUGAAGCUUCAAGGCGACUGGCUUGCUUCUGCGGCAUGAUUUGGGGG
rnacentral:lncRNA from 1 species